rnacentral:rRNA from 1 species
GACGAACGCUGGCGGCGUGCUUAACACAUGCAAGUCGAACGGAAAGGCCCUGCUUUUGUGGGGUGCUCGAGUGGCGAACGGGUGAGUAACACGUGAGUAACCUGCCCUUGACUUUGGGAUAACUUCAGGAAACUGGGGCUAAUACCGGAUAGGAGCUCCUGCUGCAUGGUGGGGGUUGGAAAGUUUCGGCGGUUGGGGAUGGACUCGCGGCUUAUCAGCUUGUUGGUGGGGUAGUGGCUUACCAAGGCUUUGACGGGUAGCCGGCCUGAGAGAGUGACCGGCCACAUUGGGACUGAGAUACGGCCCAGACUCCGACGGGAGGCAGCAGUGGGGAAUAUUGCACAAUGGGCGGAAGCCUGAUGCAGCAACGCCGCGUGCGGGAUGACGGCCUUCGGGUUGUAAACCGCUUUCGCCUGUGACGAAGCGUGAGUGACGGUAAUGGGUAAAGAAGCACCGGCUAACUACGUG